CUCAUGAAUUAACACAAAGCUACAGAAUUUACAUACUGUAAGUUUUUGCCUAAUUUUGCCAAGGUGUCAGAACUGGUCAUAAUCUCUACAGUGUAGCAAAUGGAAUCCAAUUAAAUAAAAAUGCCACACAUGAACCUGAAGCGAAGCCAGACUAAAGUUUCAUGAACAAGUCAACUGUGUCAUCUAUAACAACAACCUCUCCGACUUUCUUGGUCCGAAGUUAACAGUUGGACGAACGUAUCAAAACAAGUAAACUUGUUUCUCGUCCAGGAGUCGAGGUGCAGUUGUCUCAUUUUUGAAAGAGGAAAGGAAAUAUUAAAGUGCAAACAGACCUUCUGUAAAAUGAUAUACAGCUAUAAUUUUUGUUUGUUCUGUUAACUGUGUU